rnacentral:piRNA from 1 species
AUNGAGGUCAAAUCCCAGUGUGCAGUA